UGCAGCUCUACAAAGGACACAAGGAUGUCCCCAUCCCAGCUCCUCUGCCUCCUGCUGCUCUGGGCUCAGGAGUCCAGGACAGUCACUGUGAUGACCCAGACUCCAGCCUCCCUGUCUGUGGCUCUGGGAGAGAAAGUCACCAUCAGCUGCAGGGCCAGUCAGGGCAUUUAUGGUAAUUUAGCCUGGUACCAGCAGCCUCCAGGAAAACCUCCCAAACUUCUUAUCUAUGAUGCUGAUGACCUAGAAUCUGGGGUCCCUGCCCGCUUCAGUGGCAGUGGGUCUGGGACAGAUUUUACUCUCAUAAUCAGCAGUGUGGAGGCUGAAGAUGUUGGACUUUAUUACUGUCAGCAGUAUGAGGAGUUCCCCACAAUGAUGGAGGCCUGA